ACGGACCAAUGGUGUACCAGUCAUGGCGCCAGGUGUGCAGCUGGGUAGCUACGUCCGGGACGGAUAAACGCUGAAAGCAUCUAAGCGUGAAACCAGCCUAAAGAUGAGGUUUCUCAUUGUGAAAGCAAGUAAGGUCCCAUGAAGACGACAUGGUAGAUAGGCCGGGAGUGGAAGUGCAGUGAUGCACGGAGCGGACCGGUACUAAUAGACCGAGGGCUUGACUUAAGU
rnacentral:rRNA from 1 species